UACAUGAUCAUACUGCUGCGCUACUACUGUGAAGGUGCUGCCUAGAAUAAUAGUUAUUAUGUGUACUAAUCAACAAAAGCAUUGGUUGACAUGGGGAUUACUCUAUUUUCAAACAUUAGUAAUUUGAUUCUCUGUUGGUCUUGUAUUAUGAGAGAUGUAUAUCAGCUUUGCACAGUCUGUCAGUUCUGUUCAAACACUGCAUUGUCACUACUUCCAAGCCCCCACAUUGAUGGCAUUUCACAAGUCUGCUCAGCCUGGCAGAGAUGGC